rnacentral:ncRNA from 1 species
GUGUGGUAUGAAAGGAAAGGAGGUUAGCACUCAGCUUGAUAAGGGUGGGAGAGAUGUAGUGGCCUUUUCAACGCACAUAUGGUUAAAGCAAUGGCACUUAAUCACUUUUG